rnacentral:lncRNA from 1 species
GAAGUCCCACGAGUUUCUGAGCUGUUUCCCUUUCUAGUCUUGAGCCUCCAAUACAAGCUUGAAACCCAAGAAAUCUCAGCUAUAUAAACAGCAGAGAACAUAGAAUCCAAUCACAAGAAGCAAGCAAACUACCAAGAAGUUGAGUACUCGCCCAUCUACUUGCUCCAAUCAGUGAGAAGAAUUGUCUCAUCAUCUGUCCAUUUUUCUGUGUUUAGGAAAUAUUAAGGUAGACAAGAAUGAGUAAUGGAAAGAACUCCGCCUGGUACACCUUGUUCUUAAGGUUUCUGUCUUCCUGCUUCAGUUCAUCUGCAGGGAGUGGAACUAAAUCCUUGCACACUGGGCCAGAGGCGGCAAUGAUAGGUGCUGCUAAGCAUUUCUCCUCUGCUCACAAAAUAAAAAUGGGCUAGCUUCCAUUGAUGAUGGGCAGUUUUUCAGGAGUAAUGCUAGUGUCUCUGGAUGAUGAAGUCUCUCCUAUAAGAUCCCAUGUACAAAUGCUCUAUCUCAUUGGAUGUGUCUGAGAAUGAUCAAUGCAGAGGUUGAAUAACUGCAAAUUUUGGGUUAGGAAUGGCCUAGCCACCAUUCCCAAUCCUCCCAAUUUCGCAGACACAGGAAGAAUCAUAUAAUCUUCCUAAAAACACUCAUGGGUGCAGGUUGAUUUUUCUGUUGUUGAAAUUUCAAAUUGUUUUAGGAGGCAUUGUAUAGCAGUUUGUAUUUGAAUUGUUGUGAUACUUUUCUACCCUUUGUGAAUAAACAUUUCAUAUUUAUUAAAAAGCCUUCCAAUUCAUUUUGAAAUUUUAAAUGGUAAGUGUUUAUGUUGAUUUGAAGGAAAAGCAUACCCUAAUCCUGGUCUUAAAAAGUAAGAAAGAAAAUCACAAGCAUUAAAUUCAGACUUGUUAAAAGAAAAGUCAACAUUAGGUCCACAUUUUGAAGGCACAGGGGAAGCUAAAACUGCUUGUGAGAGAGGCAAGUGGGCCUGGCCUGGCCUAGCAUUGUGGUCAAACUCAAAACUCAAAAGAGGUCUUCUGUUUUUGAACUAUUUCCUUUGUCACAGUCCAAGAGCCAUCACCCAAGUAUUGGGGUAAAAAUUCACGCAUAGUACGAAUUGUAACUCUUGGAAUUCAUGCAUAUAGCCUAUCCUUUUGAAGUCCUAAACUCCUAACUAUGAAAUUCUCUAAUCAAUAUCCUCUAUCUUAUAUUUUUCCUUGAGGAUUCUCAUAGUUCCUUUACAAUGAGCAAGAUUUAGAUGGUAUUUGUUUUUUUACUUAAUUCUAAAUAGAACGUUAAUGCUUAAUAGUGUUAAAUAUUAUAUUGUUUGUUUUUGUAAUAUUUUAUUUCUAUUAAGUAUUAAAAAGUAAAAAAAAUUAAUAUGUUAUUUUUUCUAUUUAGAAAAAAGCUACAUAUUUUGGUGUGUUUGUUUUUUUACUUAAUUCUAAAUAGAACCUUAAUGCUUAAUAGUGUUAAUAUUAGGUUGUUUAUUUUUGUAGUAUUUUAUUUCUAUUAAGUAUUAAAAAGUAAAAAAAACCAAUAUGUUAUUUUUUCUAUUUAGAAAAAGUUACAUAUUUUGGUUUUUUCUAUUUAGUAAAAAGUUUAUAAUAAGUCAUGAAAAAGUAGAAAAACAAACAAUUUAAAUUCUAAAACUAAAUUGCUUUUAUAAAAAAGUCAAAAAAACAAACACCAUAUUGAUUUUUUUAUUUAGUAAAAAGUUUAUAAUAAGUUAUGAAAAAAUAGAAAAACAAACAACUUAAAUUCUAAAACUAAAUCACUUUCAGUAAAAAGCCAGAAAAACAAAUACCACCUUGUGAGGUAGCACAACAUUCUUUGUUGCCAGUUCUUCAAGUUCAUUUUACUAAACUUUUCUAGCUUUUCACCAUAAACAGCCAAAGUAAUCAAAUAGUAAAAAUGAAUUUGUUAGAAGACUGUUAAAAAUGAAUUUGAGGUAAAUGACAGUCUAAAUUUUCUUGUUAAACAAGAAAGUCAGAAAAGGAUGGUGGUCAAAAGCGAAGUCUUCCCAGUUUCUGAGCUAUUUCCUUUUCCACGGUCUUGAGUCCGCUGCCCACAUGCUCAAAUACAAGCUUGAACCCCAAGAAAUCUCAGCUAUAUAAACAGCAGAGAACAUGGAAGCCAAUCACAAGAAACAAGCAAACUACCAAGAAGUUGAGUACUCGUCCAUCUACUUGCUCCAAUCAGUGAGAAGAAUUGUCUCAUCAUCUGUCCAUUUUUCUGAGUUUAGAAAAUAUUAAGGUAGACAAGAAUGAGUAAAGGAAAGAACUCCGCCUGGUACACCUUGUUCUUAAGGUUGCUGUCUUCCUUCUUCAGUUCAUCUGCAGGGAGUGGAACUAAAUCCUUGCAUACUGGGCCGGAGGCAGCAAUGGUAGCCGCUGCUAAGCAUUUCUCCUCUGCUCACAAAAUAAAAAUGGGCUAGCUUCCAUUGAUGAUGGGCGGUUUUUCAGGAGUAAUGCUAGUCUCUCUGGAUGAUGAAGUCUCUCCUACAAGAUCCCAUGCACAAAUUCUCUAUCUCGUUGAGAAUUUUCAAUGCAGAAGUUGAACAACUGCAGAUUAGAUAUCAACCAUGUUGGCAGAUUUCGGGUUGGUAAUUAAUGAUCUACUACCCAGCAGUCCAAUCAUGCCAAUUUCCAGAAAGAAAGAGGAAGAAUCAUAUAAUCUUCCUAAAUACACUUAUGGAUACAAGUUGAUUUCAGGCUUUGUUUAGCAGUUUGUAUUUGAAUUGUUGUCAUACUUUUCUACUCUUUGUGAAUAAAUAUUUCAUAUUUAUUAAAAACCUUCCACAUUUGUCCAAGCCAAGCCUUUACUCCAAGCAGGAGGUUUAUGAUUUUAAAUAGUAAGUGCUUAUGCUGAUUUGGAGGAUAAGGAUAACCUAAUCCAGGUGCGAAGAGGAAAAUAAAAUAAGAAAAACACAGAAGCUUAAAUUCAGACUUGUCAAAGAUAAGUCAAUACUAGGUCCGCAUUUUGAAGGUAGAAGGGAAGCAAAGUUGGUUUGUAACUUGUGAGAGAGGAAAUUGGGCCUAGCCUAGCAUUGUCGUCAAAACUCAAAAGAGAGCUCCUGUUUCUCAACCAUUUCCUUUGUCACGAUCCAAGAGCCAUCACCCAAGUAUUCUGGUCAAAGACGGAAGUCCUCAGUUUCUCCACUGUCUCUAUAUCUCAGUUCACAAUCAACUCCCACACCCCCAAAUAUCAUGUAAGAUUCAAUGAGUGAGCUUAUGAGAAGUCAAGUUGGCGCACCUUAGUCAAGUUAGCAGCAGCCAUGGUCGCUGCUGGCUGCUGUUAAGCAUCUCUUUCUCUCAUAAAUUCCGGAUAUGGUAGCAUAGCAGUCACGAGGUCCUUUUAAGGACCGUGGAAAUACCAUACCUCCGUUUUAAUAGACGUGAUGAGAUUUUGUGGUUCAGGAUUCCAAGCAUUAAUAGUAAACACAUAAUGGUCAGUUGAUUCUAAAAUUUUAUUCAUUUGAGGAUAUUGGUUAUAAUUUAUACCUUUUUUGUACUCUUAUUUUCCUACACUAAAAGUAAUAACACCUACUUGAUGUUUAAUUACUUUCGAAUCAAAAGCUUUUGGGACUUUAUGAUUGGCUUUGAAUCUGUUGUUCACAGCUUUCAAAAACAAUUUUGAAAAACUAGUUUUUAAGCACAAUUUUUAAAAACUAUUUUAUAAUUUAAAUAUAUUUUGGGUUUAUGAUUUCCAAUCCCAUAAUCUAUGUAUUUUUAGAAUUACCUUUUGUCUCCAUGAUGAUACAUGAUUCAAUGAUUCAAUGUGCUAGUGGUGCAUGGUGAGCUAGUGCAUGUUUGAAUUAUUUGCUGGAACUGGGUGUCUUUUUCUUUGUUUUUUGAGGUUGCCUCAAUGUUGGAUGACUGGAUAAUGGGCCUUAUCGAUCUCAAUUAACACAAAUCACAUACUGUUUGAGGUAAAUGUUGGUCUAAUUUUCUUGUUGAACAAGUCAGAAAAGUAUGGUGGUCAAAAGCGAAGUCCCACAAGCUUCUGAGCUAUUUCCUUUUCCAGUCUUGAGCCUCCAAUACAAGCUUGAACCCCAAGAAAUCUCUUUUAUAUAAACGGCAGAGAACAUGGAAUCCAAUCACAAGAAGCAAGCAAACCACCGAAAAGUUAAGAGUACUCUCCCAUCUACUUGCUAGAACCAGUGAGAAGAAUUGUCUCAUCUUUCCAUUUUUCUGGGUUUAGUUAAUACUAAGGUAGACAAGAAUGAGUAAAGAAAAGAACUCCGCCUCGUCCACCAUGUUCUUAAGGUUGCUGUCUUCCUUCUUCAGUUCGUCUCCGGGGAGUGGUAAGUUGAAGAGUUCAAGAAGUACAUCCUUACACACCGGGCCGGAGGCAGCAAUGGUAGCUGCUGCUAAGCAUUUCUCCUCUGCUCACAAAAUAAACUUGGGCUAGCUUCCAUUGAUAAUGGGCAGUUUGUCAGGAGUAAUGCCAGUCUCCCUGGAUGAUGAAGUCUCUCCUAUAAGAUCCGAUGCACAAAUGCUCUAUCCCAUUGGAUGUGUGCGAGAAUUUUCAAGGCAGAAGUUGAAUAACUGCAGAUUAGAUAUCAAACAUGUUGGUUCAUUUUGGGUUGGUAAUGGUCUACUACCCAGCAGUCCAACCCUGCCAAUUUCGCAGAAAGAAAGAGGAAGAAUCAUAUAAUCUUCCUAAAAGCACUUAUGGGUGCAAGUUGAUUUUAGGCUUUGUUUGGGAGUUUGUAUUAAUUUGAAUUGUUGUAAUACUUUUCUACUUUUUUCAAUAAAUAUUUUAUCUUUAUUAAAAAGCCUUCUACAUUUGUCUAAGCUUUUACUUUUCUUCAAAUACGUAAAG